AACGAACGCUGGCGGCAUGCCUAACACAUGCAAGUCGAACGAGACCUUCGGGUCUAGUGGCGCACGGGUGCGUAACGCGUGGGAACCUGCCCUUAGGUUCGGAAUAACUCCCCGAAAGGGGUGCUAAUACCGGAUAAUGUCUUCGGACCAAAGAUUUAUCGCCUUUGGAUGGGCCCGCGUUGGAUUAGCUAGUUGGUAGGGUAAAAGCCUACCAAGGCGACGAUCCAUAGCUGGUCUGAGAGGAUGAUCAGCCACACUGGGACUGAGACACGGCCCAGACUCCUACGGGAGGCAGCAGUGGGGAAUAUUGGACAAUGGGCGAAAGCAUGAUCCAGCAAUGCCGCGUGAGUGAUGAAGGCCUUAGGGUUGUAAAGCUCUUUUACCCGGGAUGAUAAUGACAGUACCGAGAGAAUAAGCUCCGGCUAACUCCGUG
rnacentral:rRNA from 1 species